CCUACGGGAGACAGCAGUGAGGAAUAGUGGUCAAUGGACGGAAGUCUGAACCAGCCAUGCCGCGUGCAGGAAGGCGGCUCUAUGAGUUGUAAACUGCUUUUGUACAAGGGUAAACCUGAAUACGUGUAUUCAGCUGAAAGUACUGUACGAAUAAGGAUCGGCUAACUCCGUGCCAGCAGCCGCGGUAAUACGGAGGAUCCAAGCGUUAUCCGGAUUUAUUGGGUUUAAAGGGUGCGUAGGCGGAUUGAUAAGUUAGAGGUGAAAUGUCCGCGCUUCACUCGGGAACUGCCUCUAAUACUGUUGAUCUAGAGAGUAGUUGCGGUAGCCGGAAUGUAUUGUGUAGUGGUUAAAUGCUUAGAGAUCAUACAGAACACCGAUUGCGAAGGCAGCUUACCAAUCUAUAUCUGCCGUUGAGGCACGAAAGCGUGGGGAGCAAACAGGAUUAGAUACCCGGGUAGUC
rnacentral:rRNA from 1 species